GAUGAACGCUGGCGGCGUGCCUAAUACAUGCAAGUCGAACGGCGUGCAGCAAUGUGCGCAGUGGCGACCGGGUGCGUAACACGUAGCUGACCUGCCCCUCAGCGGGGGACAACUGCUGGAAACGGCAGCUAAUACCGCAUGAGGUCGGGGGGACUAGACGCCCCCGACGAAACUUCCGGGGCUGAGGGAGGGAGCUGCGGCCCAUCAGGUAGUUGGUGCGGUAACGGCGCACCAAGCCGACGACGGGUAGGGGGCCUGAGAGGGUGGUCCCCCACAC
rnacentral:rRNA from 1 species